UUCCAGAGGGGGACAACAGUUGGAAACGACUGCUAAUACCGCAUACGAUCUAAUCUCGGCAUCGAGGAUAGAUGAAAGGUGGCCUCUACAUGUAAGCUAUCACUGAAGGAGGGGAUUGCGUCUGAUUAGCUAGUUGGAGGGGUAACGGCCCACCAAGGCGAUGAUCAGUAGCCGGUCUGAGAGGAUGAACGGCCACAUUGGGACUGAGACACGGCCCAG
rnacentral:rRNA from 1 species